UUUUAAGUGAUGUUUAGCACACAAUUCAUGUUUUUGUAGCCGUCUAGAACAAAAGCCGGCGAAAUUAAAUAUGGUCUACGUUGGAGGGCUCCGUUUCAACUGCCGAUUUAUACUUCUGUUACAAAUUUCAACCCAUGGGAAAUUAUAACCAAUGAAAAAUGUCUGAACUCAGACAAGGGAAAGGAUUCUUCUUCGCAACUGUCUGCAUGAUUUCUUUUUGACCACAAACGCACCCCUUGACCUUCUAGAUCGCCCCAUCGUUGCUCUUUAUAAAACACCAUUCACAUCCAUCGCCUCCACAACAGCCGCCGCCACCCACCACCACAAUUCCUCCUCCUCUAUACAAGGAAACGAAACAGGAAGAAGAAUGCCUCCUUUUGCCACAACCUUGUCCUCUCAAAAUGACCACUUUAAUCGCUCUCGGGGCAUUAGUCCACAAUCAGAUGUUAUCACCAUUGAUGUUGGUGGCCAACUCUUUCAGACCACAAAACAAACCUUGGCUCUUGCUGGAUCAAAAUCGCUCUUCUCCCAAUUUGCUCACUCUACUCAAGUGGGUCUUGGUCCUCAGUUCAUCGACAGAGACCCUGAGUUGUUCUCUAUCCUUCUCUCUCUGUUGAGAACAGGGAAUCUCCCUUCAAAGGCUAAAUCUUUUGAUCUUGAAGAUUUGAUUGCAGAGUCCAAAUUUUAUAAUAUUGAGUCCCUGUUAAUUAACUCUUUAUCAAAUCCUUCUCUAUUUGAUGCUUUCAACCUCGAAAAGUCGCUAACUUUGCCCCUGAACGGCCGAGAUUUCGCUUCUGCCAUGGCAACGACGUCGUUUGGGACCCUGCACGUCGCUCACGGUAGCAAAAUAACGUCUUUCGAUUGGGCCUUGCGCAGGAAGUCAACGAUACUCACCCAGUUCACGGCGAUCGAUUCUCUCUUGGCGAUUUCCCCAACAAUAGCAGCCGCGGGAGCGACCGAUUUCUCGGGAAUGCAAAUUCUCGAUCUCGAAAAGGGUUUUGUUAGGGAAACAUUGUGUUGGGAAAACGUGACGCGAUCUAGCUCUACGGUUCAGGCAAUUGGGUCGUCUCCAGAUUUCUUGUUCACAAGUUUUGAGUCAGGUCGCAGGAACUCAAACUCGAUCAUGGUCUAUGAUUUGCAAUCAUUUUCACCAGUAAUCGAGAUUGCACACUGCGAGAUAUAUGGUGCAGAACUUGACUCGGCCAUUCCAGCCACAAAAUUGAAGUGGGUAGAGAGUUAUAAUGUGGUAAUGGCAUCUGGUUCUCAUAGCGGACCCUCUGGUAUGUUGGGAAAUGUGAAAUUGUGGGAUAUAAGGUCUGGAAAUGUAAUUUGGGAAUUGAAAGAGAGAGUUGAUUGUUUCUCUGAUAUUACUGUUUCAGAUAGUUUGUCAGCUAUCUUUAAAGUUGGCGUGAAUUCAGGAGAGGUCUUUUAUACAGAUUUAAGAAAGUUGGGUGAUAUGGAUAGUAAUCCUUGGAUUUGCUUGGGUGAUAAGAGGAAAAUGCUAAAUGUUAAGAAAGAAGGAGUUGGUUGCAAGAUUGAAGCUCACGGAAAUCAAGUAUUUUGUAGUAAAGGAGGAGAUGUUGAGCUUUGGUCUGAGGUUGCCAUGAAUUCUUCCAAGAAAAGCGAAGAUGGGUUGCCAGAUAGGGUAUUCAGGAGGAAUUUGAUGGGGAGAGCAAAAGAUAUGGGAGGAUCAAGAAUAACCAACUUGGCUUUUGGAGGGAGCAAAAUGUUCUUGACAAGGAAGGAUCAGCAUUCUGUUGAGGUUUGGCAAAGUUCUUCAAGGGGAUUUUAGAUUUUUGAAAAUUGUUCAUAGCUUGAUUCAUUCAAUUGUAAAUGUCCAUGUAUUUUAUCCAAAAUUAUAUUGUGAUUAGAUCUAUCUAGCUUAUUGAUUUGAGAUCAACAAUUGCCUUUUUCCUCUGUUUUCUGAUUGCUAUAUAUGUGGAUAAUCAUCAAGGAGAAGGUGUUGCAUCUUAGUUUCCUGGUUCAUACAUUUCAGGCUUUGCAAUGAGCUAUGAUAUCAGGUAAUUUGGAAUGUUGAAGUUGAAUAAUUGCGAUUAUACUGUACCAUAAGGAGAAAUCAUUAUGAUUUCUGGGUUUUAUCGAAGGACCACCAUUUUGUAGCAGUGGCUCUAUUUCCAGAAGCAAUAGCACCUAAGAAGUUGUCACUAUAAUUUCCAAUUUGAAUGUCCAUGAUUUUUGUAUGUUAAUAAAUCCAUUUACUUUCUGCCCAGAAGCCUUCUCAUUUAUUUGUGUUCUAAACAUCCUGCUAUACUAUUAUUAUCACUCCACUGACACAGGGAAGGUGUAGAAAAUGUAUCUUGUGCCCUGACAUUUUUAUCAUCCAAGGUAUCUAUGUUUCUAUGAAUGGGACACAAAGCUGAAGGAAGAUGAAAUUUUCCUUUUAGGUUGAAAGUAAUGAUACUCAUAUUCAUGUGUGAAUGUGAUAUUUGCCAACUUCAUGUUUCCAAAGAGCCCUAGUUCAGUAAAACCUACAGGAGUUUCUAAUCUUGAAAAUUUGGAGAUGGCAAGGACUGAAUAAGUCUGAUAUUGAAGGUAGAUCUGUGAUAAUGCUUAUAUGUAGUCUGCAGUCUCUUACUGGCAUAUAUUCAAAAAAUUUCUGGUCAUCAGGUUGGGAGUAUUGACUCCAGAUCUCCAGAACUAGUGCUUGAGCACAAGCUCUUGCUUUGUGGUGAUGCUUUAACGGGGAUAGAUUGCUGUCUGCCAAGAUCAGGUGUGCAGAACUUGUGAGGCAAUAUUUGCUGCUUUAUUUCCAAGCAGAGGCGAUAAAUUAAAAAAACCAAUAGAUAUUUGAUCAUAUUUUGUAGGGUUGGUGACAUCUUUUUCAUUCCCUGUUCAUUUAUUUGUAAACGAGUGAUGAUUUUUAAAGUGUAGGCUAAAGGUUCAAGCACUGCACACACUUGAGAGAAGAUCAGGCUAAACAUAAAGUUCAGGGGGAGUGAUCAAUGUGAGCAGAUAGAUGGUUUUGAGCUCUACUUAUUCAAGAGUCUUGUCCCUCCUGUUCCAGAAAUCGCUGACAGGGACACCAUAGCCACCAAGAUUUGCAGGCCAGUACUGAGAAGGAGGGAGGUGAGUGGAGACUGAUUCUUUGGCAUCUCACUCAUGCCUUUCGAGUUGGGCUGAGAUACGUCAAACCCUACGACGUGUCUCCAUUCGGGACCAUCUCCCAUGGUCACCUGUUACUGUACGCUUUCACUACCAUAGCUGGAAUAGAGGCCGAGCAGAGCCAGACGAACCAGAGAUGAUCACACCCAACCAUGGCAAUACACCUCACUGAAAGAGAAUAUACCCAAUAAGUAGCAGGUGAUUUUAAUUGGAGAGCCCCAUACAGUACAGGCUGGUCAUUUGAUAUCAGCUGAAAAAUUAGUUACAUUUCUAAAAAAAAAUAUAUAUAUAUUAAUUACAAAGUCUUGAACUUUGAUGUAAUUAUGAUUUGGAUUUCAGGUCUAACGACCUCCACGUGUCUUAAUAUGGAAUUUGAUAAUAAGGGGCGACUUGCUUCUUAUAUUUUAAAAAAUAGCAA
rnacentral:misc_RNA from 1 species